rnacentral:rRNA from 1 species
GACGAACCGAGCGAACGUUGUUCGGAAUCACUGGGCUUAAAGGGCGCGUAGGCGGGCUGUCAAGUUUGGGGUGAAAUCCCGCGGCUCAACCGUGGAACUGCCUCAAAUACUGACGGUCUCGAGGGGGGUAGGGGCGAGCGGAACUGUGAGUGGAGCGGUGAAAUGCGUCGAUAUUCACAGGAACUCCGGUGGCGAAGGCGGCUCGCUGGACCUCUUCUGACGCUGAGGCGCGAAAGCCAGGGGAGCAAACGGG